GCCAAUGUGACAUAGUGGUUUGAGUGUUGGACUACGACUAGAGACCAGGGUUCAAUUCCCAGCUUGGUCA